CUUGUUUAUUUAUUUAUUUAAAGUCCCUCUGCCAAUUUGUAGCUCAGCCCCUUAGCCAUGGUUGGGGUUGCUGAGUGGGGGACAGAGAGCUGGGUCAGCUGGUCUAAAAACAAAUGUUUGCACAGUUAAACAAGGCUGAGAAAUCAGCCCAGCUACAAACAUCCUCCGCCAGUCUCGUUUCCAGCACAUAUCCAAGAAAAAAACAAACAGCCCCAGAAAGAUUGCUUCACCUCUCCCCUUCUUCUAGCCUUCUCUACUUCGACUUUUAAUCUUUCUUGAAAUAUGAUCUGAGAUUACCUACACAAAAACAGAGCCAGGCCUUGGCUGCUGAUCAAGCCCAAAACGAUGAGACCUUUUGGUGGAAAAGGUCCAAGAAGCAGAUGACUCGGCAUCUUCCAAGGAAGCAAAGAGAGAAUAGCUGGGGCAUGACUCAGCAAGCAACGGGCAGCAAAGGCUGUCAGGGGGCUCUGGAGUCUGCCCAGUUCCUUGAGAAGUGUCUGCGGCCAGCUUAGAGCUGAAUGAAAAAAUCUCGUGUGGGCUGCCGACGGGAAGCAGGAGAACUGAACACAUGACUUCUGGCUUUUGAUCUUAGCAUUAUUUAAACACAAGCAGUAAACAACUCCGACGCAGGAAGAGGAAGAAGCCACAAAAGAGUCUAGCUAAAGAAAUAAAAGAGAGCGUACCUUCAUCCUUUCAUCGGCAUUCACCUUACUGCCCUGCACCAAGUCGAUAUAGUAAGGCUGCUCAAGCGACCACAGAGAUACGGAGGUUGGCUGACACGUGGAGGGGGGGGGGAAGAAGAGAGGUGACCACCAUCACUAGAUUUUAAUAGUCAUUCACAGAGCAGCCACUUCAUCUCCCAAGCUAAGUUGACAAAGCUGGACAGCAAGGACUGAAGUGCUGUUAUGUUAAAUAUAAUAAUAACAACAUUGUCAACAAAAUCUCUAGCUAGUGAAAACAUCAUAUGGACUAGAAACUUCACAUAUUCCAUUUCAGAGAUUGGGAAAAACAGUGGAUAUGCCUUCUUGUUUAUAUUGCCAGAAUAGGGCAGGGGUGAGAUCAUGGCUUACCUUUUUCUUGGGGACCGGAGGCGGUUUGGGGGCCGUUUUAGGGGGGUGAACAAUCCCAUUGGUUUGUUCUUCCCACAAAGCCAGGAUGGAAGAGGAGUGCACCAUCGUGAGGUGUGGCAAGAGGCCACGGUUCAAGCAGUCAUGGAUGUACUGUGGGAAUGGACCAAAA